ACAGAAAUGGGCGGGACGACGUGGUGGUCUUAUCAUAACCCUUUGUAGGCCCCGCAAGGGGUACCUGGCGCGACUGUAAACAAUGGGAGCGGGUAUUAAAUCGCAAGUCGGCUCCUGCCGGCAACACUUUCGAAUUGCGGGGACACCCUUAAGCCCGCCUCUACCAACCGGUCAGGGAAACCUGGCCGGGGCCGCUGCUAACAGCAGCGGGUAUGGUCAGAAGGAGGCGGGAUUGGGUAAUCCGCAGCCAAAUCCCUAAGGCGUCCCGCGGCGCUACGGGAGAGGUUCACAGACUAAGUGGAAGUGGGCCGCCCUGCGCGGCUUAAGAUAUAGUCGGGCCCCUUGCGAGAGCUUGGGGGAGUCACUGUUCCGUAGGUGAACCUGCGGAAGGAUCAUUAAACAGUGGGCUUGUCCCGCGCCACGCUCCGCCUGGGCUCCGGCCCGGUGGAAGUGUGAACCAACUGUGAACCAAAAAACUUUAGCUCAGGCAGCCUGUCCGAUAGGGUCCCCCCCGAACCGGGCUGUCAGCCUGCCUGUGGCACUCACCAAACCAAGCCUUCUGUGCCGUCUGGUGUGAUCUUUCUGAAUGGAAAAUCAAAACUUUCAACAACGGAUCUCUUGGUUCUCGCAUCGAUGAAGAACGCAGCGAAACGCGAUAGUUAAUGUGAAUUGCAGAAUUCAGUGAAUCAUCGAGUCUUUGAACGCACAUUGCGCCCUCCGGCAUUCCGGAGGGCAUGUCUGUUUGAGCGUCAUGUCAACCCUCGCCCCCAACGGCGGUUUUGGGCACCGGCUUAGCUGACGGGCCUGAAAGUUGAACGCUCCGCGGGCGGCUGCUCCGGCGAACGUGGUGGAUAACUUCCGUUCCAAACCGGUCGCGGCCUGCCCACGUGAACAAGAACCCAAUGCAAGUCAGUCAUCGGAUCAGGCAGAAUACAUUUAGCCUC
rnacentral:rRNA from 1 species